rnacentral:misc_RNA from 1 species
CUGAGUUCAUGCCCUUACGGGUAGAUCUCCCACCCUUGAAUAUCUAAACCUUUGUUGCUUUGGCGGGCCGCUUCGGCUACCGGCUCCGGUUGGUGAGUGCCCGCCAGAGAACCUUAAACUCUGAAUUACAGUGUCGUCUGAGUACUAUAAAAUAGUUUA